GACGAACCGUGCGAACGUUGUUCGGAAUCACUGGGUUUAAAGGGCGCGUAGGCGGGCUGUCAAGUCGGUGGUGAAAUCUUUCAGCUUAACUGGAAAAUGGCCUUCGAUACUGGCGGUCUGGAGGAAGGUAGGGGCAUGCGGAACUUCCGGUGGAGCGGUGAAAUGCGUAGAUAUCGGGAGGAACACCGGUGGCGAAGGCGGCGACCUGGGUAGAUACUGACGCUGAGGUGCGAAAGCGUGGGGAGCAAACAGG
rnacentral:rRNA from 1 species